CGGUAAUACGGAGGGUCCAAGCGUUAUCCGGAUUUAUUGGGUUUAAAGGGUCCGUAGGCGGGAAAAUAAGUCAGUGGUGAAAGCCUGCAGCUCAACUGCAGAACUGCCAUUGAAACUGUUUUUCUUGAAUAUAGAUGAAGUGGGCGGAAUAUAUCAUGUAGCGGUGAAAUGCAUAGAUAUGAUAUAGAACACCGAUUGCGAAGGCAGCUCACUAAACUAUUAUUGACGCUGAGGGACGAAAGUGUGGGGAGCGAACAGGAUUAGAUACCCUGGUAGUCCACACCGUAAACGAUGAUUACUCGGUGCUAGCGAUAUACUGUUAGUGCCUAAGCGAAAGCGAUAAGUAAUCCACCUGGGGAGUACGGUCGCAAGAUUGAAACUCAAAGGAAUUGACGGGGGCCCGCACAAGCGGUGGAGCAUGUGGUUUAAUUCGAUGAUACGCGAGGAACCUUACCUGGGCUUAAAUGUAUUUUGACAGACUGGGAAACCAGUCCUUCUUCGGACAAUUUACAAGGUGCUGCAUGGUUGUCGUCAGCUCGUGCUGUGAGGUGUCGGGUUAAGUCCCAUAACGAGCGCAACCCCUAUCCUUAGUUGCCAGCGAGUAAUGUCGGGGACUCUAAGGAAGCUGCCGGUGCAAACCGUGAGGAAGGUGGGGAUGACGUCAAAUCAUCACGGCCCUUACGUCCAGGGCUACACACGUGCUACAAUGGCGGAUACAAAGGGCAGCUGCUUGGUGACAAGAUGCUAAUCUCGAAAGUCCGUCUCAGUUCGGAUCGAAGUCUGCAACUCGACUUCGUGAAGCUGGAAUCGCUAGUAAUCGCGUAUCAGCAAUGACGCGGUGAAUACGUUCCCGGG
rnacentral:rRNA from 1 species